rnacentral:tRNA from 1 species
GGAGAGGUGGCCGAGCGGUCGAAGGCGCACGCCUGGAGAGCGUGUAGACGGUCUCCGUCUCGAGGGUUCGAAUCCCUCCCUCUCCG